rnacentral:snRNA from 1 species
GUGCUCCCUUCAGCAGCAUAUAUACUAAAAUUGGAAUGAUACAGAGAUUAGCAUGGUUCCUGCACAAGGAUGACACCCAAAUUUGUGAAGCGUUCCAUAUACUC